rnacentral:snoRNA from 1 species
UAGGGACGGAUUUUGAAAAUCCGUCUCUACAUUAGGGACGGAUUUAAAAUCCGUCUCUAAAUUAGGGACGGAUUUUGAAAAUCCGUCUCUACAUUAGGGACGGAUUUAAAAUCCGUCUCUAAAU